UACAGAGGUCCCAAGCGUUGUUCGGAUUCACUGGGCGUAAAGGGUGCGUAGGUGGCCAGGUAAGUUUGAUGUGAAAGCUCGGAGCUUAACUCCGAAAUGGCAUUGAAUACUCUCUGGCUAGAGGUUUGGAGGGGAGACUGGAAUUCUCGGUGUAGCAGUGGAAAUGCGUAGAUAUCGGGAGGAACACCGAGGCGAAGGCAGCCCCCUGGGCCA
rnacentral:rRNA from 1 species